rnacentral:rRNA from 1 species
UACAGAGGCCCCGAGCGUUACCCGGAAUCACUGGGCGUAAAGCGUGUGUAGGUGGUCGAUAUUAGUCGUCCGUUAAAACCCAGGGCCUAACCUUGGAAGUGCGGGCGAAACGGUAUGACUCGAGGGCGAUGAGAGGUGCAUAGAACUCUAGGGUGUAGGGGUGAAAUCCGUUGAUGAUCUAAGGGGAAUACCGAAAGCGAAGGCAGUGCACUGGCGC